GAGGGUAUAGCUCAGUGGUAGAGUGUGUGCUUGGCACACACAAGGUCCUGGGUUCAAUCCCCAGCACCUCCA
rfam:Camelus ferus unplaced genomic scaffold scaffold644, whole genome shotgun sequence.